rnacentral:lncRNA from 1 species
AUGGUUAGCAAUGUUCUUGAACGUCAUCUUGGGAACCAUGACGGGUCUCUUAUCGUGAUGAAGGCAGAAUUUGGCAUACCAACACCAUAUGAUAUGGUCCAUAUCAUAUAACAAGGGAAUGUUACUUCAUUAUAAGAAGUAAUGAGGUGGAUGAUCGUUGUUGGUUGAUUGUUGACGUGCCAUCAAAUCUCCCUAGAAAGCCAUCUGCCUGUCUAUGUGG